rnacentral:rRNA from 1 species
GAUGAACGCUGGCGGCGUGCCUAAUACAUGCAAGUCGAGCGAACGGACGAGAAGCUUGCUUCUCUGAUGUUAGCGGCGGACGGGUGAGUAACACGUGGAUAACCUACCUAUAAGACUGGGAUAACUUCGGGAAACCGGAGCUAAUACCGGAUAAUAUUUUGAACCGCAUGGUUCAAAAGUGAAAGACGGUCUUGCUGUCACUUAUAGAUGGAUCCGCGCUGCAUUAGCUAGUUGGUAAGGUAACGGCUUACCAAGGCAACGAUGCAUAGCCAACCUGAGAGGGUGAUCGGCCACACUGGAAUUGAGACACGGUCCAGACUCCUACGGGAGGCAGCAGUAGGGAAUCUUCCGCAAUGGGCGAAAGCCUGACGGAGCAACGCCGCGUGAGUGAUGAAGGUCUUCGGAUCGUAAAACUCUGUUAUUAGGGAAGAACAUAUGUGUAAGUAACUGUGCACAUCUUGACGGUACCUAAUCAGAAAGCCACGGCUAACUACGUG